AUAGCGUAUAUUUAAGUUGUUGCAGUUAAAAAGCUCGUAGUUGGAUCUUGGGCCGGGCAGGAGCGGUCCGCCCCUCGUGGGUGUGCACUGGUCCCACCGGCCUUGUUUCUGCCGGGGACGCGCUCCUGGCCUUCGCUGGUCGGGACGCGGAGUCGGCGAUGUUACUUUGAAAAAAUUAGAGUGCUCAAAGCAAGCCUAUGCCUCUGAAUACAUUAGCAUGGAAUAACGUGAUAGGACUCUGGUCCUGUUCGUGUUGGUCUUCGGGACCGGAGUAAUGAUUAAUAGGGACGGUUGGGGGCAUUCGUAUUUCAUUGUCAGAGGUGAAAUUCUUGGAUUUAUGAAAGACGAACUUCUG
rnacentral:rRNA from 1 species